rnacentral:rRNA from 1 species
CCUACGGGAGACUGCAGUAGGGAAUCUUUCACAAUGGGCGAAAGCCUGAUGGAGCAACGCCGCGUGCAGGAUGAAGGCCUUCGGGUUGUAAACUGCUUUUAUAAGCGAGAAAUAUGAUGGUAACUUAUGAAUAAGGAUCGGCCAACUUAGUGCCAGCAGCCGCGGUUAUACGUAGGAUGCGAGCAUUAUCCGGAGUGUCCGGGGGUAAAGAGUUGCGUAGGAGGCAUAAUAAGUAGCAAGUGAAAUCUGGUGGCUCAAACAUUCAGACUAUUAGCUAAACUGUUAAGCUCGAGACCGUUAGGGGUAAGAGGAAUUCCUAGUGUAGGAGUGAAAUGCGUAGAUAUUAGAAAGAACACCGAUAGCGAAGGCAGCUUACUGGGCCGGUACUGACACUAAGGCACGAAAGCGUAGGGAGCAAACGGGAUUAGAUACCCGUGUAGUC